GAGAAGGCCCAGAAACCGCCGGGGAGGACCCCAGGGCCGGGCACGCAGCCAGGCUCCCAGCGCCGCCCGAUCUGCGGGCGUCUGACCGGAGCGAAGGCGGCGGCCGCGCCGAGGUUAAAACUGACUCUGACAGUUACUGAGUGGUUGCAAAGUGGAAGGGCCUCCUGUCUAUUAAGUCACGUACAGCCGCUCCACGAGGCGUUGAGGACCCAACAUCCCACCAGCAGAGAACUUAGCAGCAGUGACUGUGGCCCAUUCAGGGCCUCUGGCUGGUUCCUGACUCCACUGCUGGCUCCUUCCAACAGUUUCUGCACGUUCUUGGUGAGGGAGGGAGCAAGCAGUCCGCCGUCGGCAGGGACCGCCCGUCGCCCACGUGGUCUUCUGCAGUUGCCUGGGGCUCGAAUGUUGCCAUCGCUGGCAGGCGUGGUGCUGAGGUGACGGGGCGCAGAGCUGUCGUAAAUCAGGGUGCACGGGCUCUGCUCUGGCCUGUUCCUCAGACCGACGAUCAACAGCUUCAUCUUGAAACAGAGCCAUGAGCCAUGACAAUGGAAACGCCCUCUGAGGAGGACCUGCCCAGAGUUUCAUAUUUUACUUGAUGAAUAAAAUCACACACCCUUUGCUAGAAAGCCUCUGGGUGCUUACACA
ensembl:lncRNA